UGGUUCAGUUGGUAGAGUGCUUGCCUGAUAUGUAUGAAGUCCUGGGUUCAAAUCCCAG
rnacentral:tRNA from 1 species